GAUGAACGCUGGCGGCGUGCCUAAUACAUGCAAGUCGAGCGAACGGACGAGAAGCUUGCUUUUCUGAUGUUAGCGGCGGACGGGUGAGUAACACGUGGAUAACCUACCUAUAAGACUGGGAUAACUUCGGGAAACCGGAGCUAAUACCGGAUAAUAUUUUGAACCGCAUGGUUCAAAAGUGAAAGACGGUCUUGCUGUCACUUAUAGAUGGAUCCGCGCUGCAUUAGCUAGUUGGUAAGGUAACGGCUUACCAAGGCAACGAUGCAUAGCCGACCUGAGAGGGUGAUCGGCCACACUGGAACUGAGACACGGUCCAGACUCCUACGGGAGGCAGCAGUAGGGAAUCUUCCGCAAUGGGCGAAAGCCUGACGGAGCAACGCCGCGUGAGUGAUGAAGGUCUUCGGAUCGUAAAACUCUGUUAUUAGGGAAGAACAUAUGUGUAAGUAACUGUGAACAUCUUGACGGUACCUAAUCAGAAAGCCACGGCUAACUACGUG
rnacentral:rRNA from 1 species